rnacentral:tRNA from 1 species
GCUCCGCUCGUCUAGUCCGGUCCAGGACGCUGGCCUUUCAAGCCAGCAACCCGGGUUCGAAUCCCGGGCGGAGCA